rnacentral:rRNA from 1 species
ACGAACGCUGGCGGCAUGCCUAACACAUGCAAGUCGAACGAGACCUUCGGGUCUAGUGGCGCACGGGUGCGUAACGCGUGGGAACCUGCCCUUAGGUUCGGAAUAACUCAGAGAAAUUUGAGCUAAUACCGGAUAAUGUCUUCGGACCAAAGAUUUAUCGCCUUUGGAUGGGCCCGCGUAGGAUUAGCUUGUUGGUGGGGCAAUGGCCUACCAAGGCGACGAUCCUUAGCUGGUCUGAGAGGAUGAUCAGCCACACUGGGACUGAGACACGGCCCAGACUCCUACGGGAGGCAGCAGUGGGGAAUAUUGGACAAUGGGCGAAAGCCUGAUCCAGCAAUGCCGCGUGAGUGAUGAAGGCCUUAGGGUUGUAAAGCUCUUUUACCAGGGAUGAUAAUGACAGUACCUGGAGAAUAAGCUCCGGCUAACUCCGU